UAGACUAGUAUUUGUAAUCUAAUUUAUGACAUUUGUUUCUCAGUGAUAUUUCUUGUGUUUAGAAAUAUGUAUUACUGUGCAACAGCUUGUAACAUGAAAUAGAAAAGAAAGAGUAUGCUAUAUAGUAAUUAGUACUGGAAAGGUAAUUUAGAACAAAUUUGCUUUCCUUCCCAGGCAUGCAAUUCCAGAAUUAUUUAAGUGUGAUUGUGCCAGACUGAUAUCAAUAUAAGUGACAGCUGAAUUUGGUCCCCUAAAAGCAAUGUAUGUGUCAUGCAUUCCAUUUUACCUCUGGGGAAAGGUCUUGAAUUGUUUUUGUUCCAGUCCUUGUGGUUUUAGGGGAAGCACUGUAAGAUGCUCUCUUUUUUUCAGUACAGUGACAUAUUAGAUUAGCUGGGUUUUUUCCAAAGAAGUUUAUACUGCUGAUGUAUUUAUUUUUAUAUUGAUGACAGGGAUUUAUUUUUCCUAUAAAGCUUACCAGUUGUGUAGACACACAAGAAGUGCCAUCUAAUCUUUCAGUAGUUCCAGUUAUUUUCUAAAGCAUACUACACCUUCCAGCAAAAAUUUCUUUCACUGUCUGUCAUUAAAUCAGUAUUCUGAAUGACAAUAGACUGCACAACACAAACUGGAGUGAGCAAUGAAAAGACACAUCCAAUAUCUAGGCUAUGCCAAAGUGACCUUCUCUACUAAACAUAUAUGCACAACUGCUGUCUCCUUUCUUGCCUGAAAGACUUUCAUUUCCUAUCACCAUAAACAUUCCAGUUCCUUGGCUGAGUCUAUAAAGAAAUAAUGAUUGAUACUCUUCUUCCUCCCUGUUAAAAUUCCUGCAGUAAUUAGGAAGAAGGAAUCAGAAAGGAGGAAAAUGCAGUGGAAGAAUAUGAGAUUUAUUUGGGCCUGUGUGAAUCCAGCACACAUCCACUGGACAAGCAGAAACCCAAAUACUGAUUUUUUUUUUUGGAUAUAGAAGCAGCAGAAAAAAGGCUGCAAGAAAGAACAUAUUUACUUCCACAUCCUGAUACUGUUAAGUUAGAAACUCUCUAUUGGGCAU